ACAUAUGUCUAGUUGAUGGUGUGUCCCUUCAAUCAAUUAAAAAGAAUAAAUAUGUUUUAGACUAUAAAUUCGGUGAUGCUCGAAUACGCAAACAACGUCCAAAAAAACCUGUGUCACAAUCGAAUGGGAGUACUCGAAAUCCCAUGCAUGAGGUUCGUACAAAACACCAUGUUUUUCCAGGAGCAAACAGCGAUCAAGAACAUAACUUCUGUAAUCAACAAACAAUCAUAAUUAUUAAAAAAACACAUCACGGCCAUCAUAGAUGUCUUCAUCACUUGUGAAACGUUGAAAAUCUGCGUGCUUCUAAUUCACUCUUUGGACGACACGGCGGAUACAACACAUUUAUUCAAGAACAAUACUACGGCUUAAACUGACGAGCGAAGCGAUAUGAUUGGCAUUUUGGUUUGCAUGAUUAUUUCGCAUGAUAACAGCUUUCCGGUUUGUUCUACAGGAGGAAUUAGCUGCUGUUUUGGGAAUGUGUUUGAUUAUAGACGAUUGAGCAGGAAGGAAAUCUACACGUGGUCUGGUUUUUCGUUUUUUUUUUUUUUUUGUGAGGAGGGUGGAUCAACAAAACUUACUGUAAAACGAUACGUAUCCAUACUGAGAGGCAUGAGAUUAUGAUAGCCGUAAGGAGCCGCGCAUUGUG